rnacentral:rRNA from 1 species
UACGGAGGGAGCUAGCGUUGUUCGGAAUUACUGGGCGUAAAGCGUGCGCAGGCGGUUUUGUAAGUUUGUCGUGAAAGCCCCGGGCUCAACCUGGGAAUUGCGAUGAAGACUGCAAGGCUUGAAUCUGGCAGAGGGGGGGUAGAAUUCCACGUGUAGCAGUGAAAUGCGUAGAGAUGUGGAGGAACACCGAUGGCGAAGGCAGCCCCCUGGGUCAAGAUUGACGCUCAUGCACGAAAGCGUGGGGAGCAAACAGG